rnacentral:misc_RNA from 1 species
CAACCCUCAAGCCCCCGGGCUUGGUGUUGGAGAUCGGCGUGCCCUCUGGGGCGCGCCGGCUCCCAAAUAUAGUGGCGGUCUCGCUGUAGCUUCCUCUGCGUAGUAGCACACCUCGCACUGGGAAACAGCGUGGCCACGCCGUUAAACCCCCCACUUCUGAAA